rnacentral:rRNA from 1 species
CACGGGGGGGAGCAAGCGUUGUUCGGAAUCACUGGGCGUAAAGGGCGUGUAGGCGGUCAUGUAAGUGGGAUGUGAAAGCCCUCGGCUCACCCGAGGAUCUGCAUCUCAAACUGCAUGGCUUGAGUAUGGGAGAGGAUGAGGGAAUUCCUGGUGUAGCGGUGAAAUGCGUAGAUAUCAGGAGGAACACCGGUGGCGAAGGCGCUCAUCUGGCCCAAUACUGACGCUGAGGCGCGAAAGCUAGGGGAGCAAACGGG